GGUUCCAUGGUCUAAUAGUGAGGAUAAUCAAGUUUGAAUCCAAUAAUCCAAGUUCUAAUCUUGAUAGAACCU
rnacentral:tRNA from 1 species